CCCCUCUCAGGAUCACACCUGGAGAGUUUCCAAUACUUUACCAGUCUUGGAUAAGGGAAGGAGAGUCAAGCAGAGGCCUACCCAUUCCACGCCCAGCUUGGGCAGUGGCUAGCGAGUGGAAGGCAAUCUGUUAGAAGU